GCAUGACACUCUUCUGAUGCUGAGCAGUAGCCACAAGCCACAGCUCCCAGUCAGCUGUUCAUCACACUGGCAGACAACCAAGACCCCCAAGUGAGCUGUGAUGCCCAGUCGGGAUCUUCAGGAGGCUGCACAUAUGCAAUGCAUGUUCAACUUGACACAUCCCAACUUACAGUGCGGUCACUGAGAUACAGUCCUGCGAGGCUGAGGCAGGAGGAUUGCUUGGAGUUCAGGCUAGCUUGGGCUAGCAGUGUAAGACCCUGCCUCACAGGAAGAAAACACUUUGAUGGAGACGAGUGGGAAGAUGGGAGAGAGAGAUCGAUGUGUAUUCAAAAGCUUGUGGAAGUCUACUACUUAAGAG
rnacentral:lncRNA from 1 species